UCUCAAUGGCAAAACACUGCUACAACACACACUAGUUCACUCUAAUCUACAAAAGACCUACUUCCAUGUCCCUGUUCUGCGGGUAUUCCACAAGUGUGCCCUUGUUUAGACAAAGUCUCCCAGCUAAUUCUGUCUUGUACUGACCAGAGUUGGAGAAAUGUAUCUAGUUGAUGUGAUCUUACCUAGCUGCUGCGCAUGUGUGACUCUCAACAAAGAUAGUAUAGAAGUGAGAUGUCUCACUCUGUAGCUAAAACAAAGACCUUAACACACAGGGUGAAAAGAUA